GCAUGCCCCCACCUCAUGUGGCUGGCCACGCGCCCCCACGCCCACUCCCCAGUCCGAGCUGUGAAGACCCACGGCCGCACGCAGAGCUAGUGCUGUCCGCCCGGAUGACCCACAGCUGCUGUUCCACAGGCAAACCAAGGAACGCACCCCCUCCCGGGGGGAGUCUGUCCUCUCCCCGGGGCGGCUCUCCCAUCGGCGACGAUCGCGGCAGCUCUGCGGUCACUUCGAGUGGCAGGUGGAGCUGUGUUCCCCUCCGGGUUUGGUGAAGUGAAACGGUUACGAUGAGCUUUGCUGGCACAUGGACCAGUGCCACAGGCGUGGGCAUGACAGUGACCUCAGCCCCAUUGCUGCUUAUCACUUCCUCUCUGCUGCCUUCAGCAAAUCCCAACCACAUGAUGUUAUCACUUUCCAGCUUCCUCAAGAAAACAGCUGAUCAAGAUUUGGGUAUCCGCUAGGGAACUGUGCUCUUCUCACAGUUCUUGAUGGCUCUUUGGCCCUGAAACCCGACCGGUGUGGCCUGCACACCCCCAUCCUCCCUGCACUGUCUCAGGCCCAAACCUGCAGCCUGAGCUCCCACAGGGGUGGGGGUGGGGGUGGCCCCUCUCUAUGUCAGUGAGGGACUGGAGCACUUCCUGAACCCAGGAACGUAGCAGACCCUUAGUGAAGGAGCAGAGGAAGAGCCAUGCACCUGUGGAACCAGGCAUGUGCCCUGGGGGGGUGUUUUCUGCUCCCUGACUCAGCCCCCAGCCCUUGGGCCUGUGAUCCAGCACCUCUGGGUGGUGGCACCUGUGACUGUCUAUAGUCCCCAUGGGCCCUGGGGUCUGGUAACUGCCGAGGCUGGGUGGUGGUGAGUCAUGGGGGAUGGAGGUCCACCAUACUCUUCUCUGCUUCCGGGUACGUUUGGAACUUCCACAGCUCUCUGAAAUGAGUCCCACCCGAACCUGCCCAGGUCUCAACCCUGGAGUCCCUUCUAACCCGUCAGGCUCGGAGCCAGGUCCCGACCAUGGCCUCCAGGGCCCCCGCGCAGCUUCAGCUCCCCUGCCCAUCCAGCUUCAGGAGCACAGGGACCCUGCUCCCUGCUCCCCAGGGCAGCCUCCGCGGCCCCCCUAGUAGACGGAGCGGCAACCGCAUGAAGGCAGGGGCCUGGAGCGGAGCCUGCCACCCAGAAUUACUGGGAGUCAGUGAGUGAGAGGCGGGGACGUAGUUGAGCAGGUCCACAAGCCGGGGCAGAAGUGCUUCCGAUCUCCGCCAGCAUCACUGGAGGGGCGGUGGCGGGGGGUCAGCCUGAUGAGCUUAGAAGCCCUGCUUUCCCUACACAUCAGUCUCCCAGGGCCCCCGAGGUGGAGGAGGUCACACCCCAGGCAGAACCAGGGCCAGU